rnacentral:rRNA from 1 species
CACGUAGGAGGCGAGCGUUUGUCCGGAAUCAUUGGGCGUAAAGAGCGCGCAGGCGGCUUGGCAAGUCGGGUGUGAAAUCCCGGGGCUCAACCCCGUGACUGCAUCCGAUACUGUCAGGCUAGAGGUAGGUAGGGGAGAUCGGAAUUCCUGGUGUAGCGGUGAAAUGCGUAGAUAUCUGGAGGAAUACCGGUGGCGAAGGCGGCAUCCGUGGACCGACAUUGACGCUGAGGCGCGAAGGCGUGGGGAGCGAACGGG